rnacentral:lncRNA from 1 species
AAACUCAUCAAGUCAAUAAUAAGUGAGAGUAGGAAAAUGAAGCUCUGUAGUAAAGGCACCAAGGGCCAAAAUUAGAGAUAGCUAUUGUCUCUCAGAGACAAAUGGCAUGGCCUUAGACAACCAUAAAAAGAGUUGACUGGUGCAUCUAACGAGACUACUAAGAAGACAACCAAGUCGAAUACUUGUAGAUUGUGGCUCUACAAAAAAUUACAUUUAAAUUUAAAUUAUCGAUCAGCUUGGAAUUAAAAUUAAAGAAAUCAAGAAAAGAAGUAUAUAUAUCUUAUAGAUGACCAAGAGAAUUUAUUGAGUAAGAUGUGUAAAGAAGAAAUCUUGAGAUUGAUAAAUAUCUAUAUCUUAAGAGAGAGAUUUAAGAUAACAAAGCUUAGGUAUGAUGUUAUCUUUGGUAUGCCAUAGCUAGAAAUGAGAAAUAAGCAAGUUAAUUAGGUAGCAAGAACAAUCUCUUUUAAAGAUGGAGGAUGCAAGGUGAUUCUAUGCCCCUCAAUAUCAAGUAAAGAUGAAAAACAAUCUACAAUUAAAGACUUACUUGUAGGGACGACUUUUAUAAAGAAGCAGCUAUAGUAUGAACAAUCAAUAUAUAUGGUGGUUCCAAAUCUUGUGCCAAUGGUAGAAAAGAUAGCAAAAUGGAUAGAAUGAAUAGAGCAAUUCAUACGCAAAUAUUAAGAUGUAGUUCAAUCGACCUACCUAGUGGCGUACUUCAUGAUCAAGGUGCCCCCUUUCAAAUAGAACUAUUGUGUAGAGCCAAACCAAUAAGUUGAUCAAUUUAUCUUCUAGCAUUAAAAGAACUUGAAGAGCAUAAGCAACACCUUUAAGAAGUAUUGCGUCGAUUACAAGAUAGUCACUUCUAUUAUAAGCAAUCAAAAUGUGAACUUUGAAAGUCAAAAGUCAACUUUGAAAGUCAAAAGUCAACUUUUUAAGGUAUGUAGUAUCCUCCAAAGGCUUGUGUAUGGAGCAAGAUGAGGUGAAAGCAAUGAAGGAUUGACUAAUCUCCAAAUAUGCUUAUGAAGUUUGCUUGGUUUUAGACCUUACUAGAUACUAUCACCAUUUUGUUCAUAUUACUACAUCAUUGACAAACAUAUUAGAGAUGAUGCCUCAUUUGAAUGGAAAUUGGAGCAGCAAAAUAUCUUUGAUAAGUUAAAAAAAAUACUUAUUACUGCUCCAAUAUUAUAACCGUGUGAUUCGAAUGUCCUUUGUAUGCUUGACAUUGAUACUUUCAACUUUGCUAUUGGAGUGGUCUUUCAAUAAGACUUUGAUAGAGGCCUUCAACUUGUGGUGUAUGAAUUACAUAAGCUUAAAAGGGUAGAGCACAAUUACUCUAUAUGAUCAGGAAUAAUUAGUGAUUAUACAUGCCACAAAGGUGUGGCAACACUAUUUAUUAGAGAAGCCAAUGGUUGUUUGGACUGACCAUCGACCCUUGCUACAUGAUUUUCACUUGAAAAUAUGAAAUCGUGACAUCAUUAUUGAAAAGAAUAAUUGUAGCUUUCUCAUUCUCAGCUUGAGUACAAGUAAGGACAACAACAUAUUGUAGUAGAUAAUUUAUCACAGAGACCAGAUUUGAAGGAAAAAUUAGAAGAUAAGACAAAAGUUGCUACUAUUAGUAGUAUUAUUUCAGAUCUAAUGAAAGAUACAGAAUAGAAAGAAGCUAUGCAACAGGAUGCUUAUUCUAAGAUGAUUAGCAAUCAGUUGAAGGUAGAUAAUAUAUAAUAUUAGGAUUAUAUUUUUACUGAUGGCUUAUUCUAUUUUAAGAAAUAAAUUUAUGUACUUGAUAAUACUAAACUCCAGAUGCGCAUACUUCAAGAAGGAUAUGAUAUUCUAAUAUCUAGAGAUCUGGGAUGAAAGAAGAUCUUUGAAAGGAUCUCAAGGAUAUGGUUUUGGAUAGGUUUGGAUUGUGAUGUUUGAGCCUUUGUAUACUCUUGUAAGUCAUGUCAACAUAACAAAAUAUGCAAUGCAACAUCUUUUGAACUAUUGCAGCCAAUUCCACUAUCUAUGGCAUAUUGGGAAUAUGUGACUAUGGAUCUCAUUGUAUAUUUGCUACAAAUGCGUCAUAAUCAUAUCGCAAUUAUUGUCUUUGUGGAUCAAUUCUUGAAGCAACUUUACUUGGCUACAGUGUGCUUGGAUAUUGAUGCCCUAAUGCUUGCACAAGUAUUCUUUGAUAUUAUCUUUUAUCACCAUGGAUUAUCUUGUGUCAUCGUUACAAAUUGAGAUCCACGUUUCAUGGAAAGUUUUUUGCAAGCCUUGUUUAAGCUAUUAGACACACGACUUGCCAUUCAAGCUACUAGGCAUACGACUUGCCAUUCAAGCUACUAGACAUACGACUUGCCAUAUCUAUAGCCUUCUAUUUUCAAAUGGAUGGACAAACAGAGCGUCCAAAUCAAACCUUGGAGGAUAUGCUACGGGCAUUUGUAGCGGUUCAUCAUAAUGAUUGGAAUAAAUACUUGACGCCCUCAAAAUUUCCUUACAAUGAUAGUAUUCAAACAAGUAUCAAUCAUUCAUAAUUUUUCUUUAAUACCGAUCAACAUCUGAUUACGCCAACAACUCUCUAUCAUCUCAUCGACACCAAUAAUACAAGAAUAUAUACAAUGGCUUAUAACAACCUUAUAAGAGACACGACACUGCCUUUUUACUGCAUAGAAUCAAUAAAAGCAAUAUGCGGAUAACCAUCGGCAAUAUAAGACCUUCCAAGAGGGUGACCAUGUGAUACUCUCUAAUGCCAAUUUGCCACCUUGGUGGCUUGGAUCUUUUUGUAUUUCUGCAGUAAUUUCUUAUGUUGCAUACCGCCUCCAACUUUUACCAUAUAUUCAAGUUCAUCCAAUUUUUUGUAUUUAGAAAUUGAAGGAAUUUCAUAUUGAACCAAAGUGCUUUUUGGAUUGAUAUCAACCACCACUACCACCACUAGUUGUAGUUGGUAACCAAUAAGAAUAUGAAGUAGAAAACAUUUUGGAGCAUCACUACCUUCGUUGUAGGAGUGGAUGUCUACAACUUCAGUACAAAAUUCUUUGGAAAGGUUAUCCCAUUUACGAUGCAACUUGAAAAUCUACACAAAACCUCAUCCAUUGCUAAGGGGUAAUUUGGAGAUACCAUCAAGAGCAAAACAAAGACGUUCUGCGUUAGUGGAGGGGGAUUAACUAUAACAAGGUAUAGAUAAGAUAAUUAUAUGGAUAGUUAGAAUUAUGAAAAUUUCUAGAAGUAGGAUUAAAUUAGUAGACUAGGUAAGAUCUACUUUGAAAUAUUUUAGAAAGAAUUUAGGGCAAUUAUUUAGAUAGGAUCCACCAUAAAACCUUCUAAAAAAGAAGUUAAAGGCAGUUAUCUAGGAGGAGUCCACUACCUAAGAUCAUUUUAGAAAAUCCAGGGUGAUAGGAUAAGGUAUAAACAAGAUUGGCGAGGGCCUUUUGGAGAAUUUGGUUAGAUAUAGCUUUGAAUCUUUUCUCUUAGUAAAGUUUGGUUCUGCAUCUUUCUAUUAAGAUUUGUUCUGUUUUGUUUCUGUUUACUCAGUUUUAUCUUUCAUGUCUUAUUUUUUUUAGUUCUAUUCAAUUUUAUUCUGAUUUGUUUUGUCUUAUUUUGUGAUGAGGCCUUAUGUUGUUGUAGAUUAGAAGGAUCUUUGAUUUUUGAGAUAGUCUAGUCCUAUGUUAAUCAAAGUACCAAUGUUCUUAGUAAAAAUUCUAAAUAUCACUCUUGAAGCAAACAUGUGGAUACACAAUACAAUUCCACCAAAGCAAAGAUCUUUGCCAAAGAAAUCAAAGUGCACUAUGUCGUAAUCAUACAUAUGAUAGUAGAUAUAUUUUUAAAAUCUCUUUCCAAAGACUAAUAUUUCCAAUGCUUAACUUAAUUAAGCAUAUAUCAACUUCUUCUAAAUGCAAAAUAAGCAAACUAGAAUCAUUCAAGCCUGAUUUGUCUACUCAAAACAACAAGACCUUACACAACAUCCAUAUUUUGAUACAUCAUGGAGUGGGAGACAAUCUAGUAAAAUAACUUAUUCCAAAUCCAUAAAAUAUUAAAAUACAAAAGAAAACCUUUAUAUCAAAACUGCUAAGAGAAAACAAAAGCAAAACAUGCCCUGAUUGCUAUAAUAAUGCAUGUUGGGAAGCUUACCAUGAAGCUUGUUGUAAAGCUUGCUACUAUGCUUGUUGCGAAGCUUGCUGCCAUACUUGCUGCAAAGCUUGCCAUCAAGGUGAUUACAUUUGCAACUGACCUUGUAUGGAUGCCUGCUCCAAAAUCCACUAUUAUGUCUACAUUUGCAAUGUCUCUUUCAAUAGUAACAAUGAAUUUUUUGGUAAUAAAACAAAAAACAACAAAAAAGAAAGAAGAAAUGUACAAACAGCAAACAUGAAGCAACAAGCAAAUACAAAUCAACAAAAUAAAUCACAUACCUUGUCAAAAUUGAAAAAGCAAUGAGAGAACUAUGAGAAAUCCCUCUAACAUUGUAACACCAAAAAGAAGAUUGAAACCCUACAUUUCUCAUACAUAUCUAUUUUAAAAAUGGAUAAAUUUUUGCUAUAGAUGAAAUUCAAUUCAAGGAUGAAGAUUAGUAUACUAGUGGGAGCAUUGGCAGAAUUAUUCCAUAUAGUACACUAGUCUCAUGUAUAGAAUACUAUCUAUUAAGUAUUGACCUUGCACCAAGAGUUGUGACUCUUGGUGUCAAUAUUGUACACACAAUAUAUUGUGUAACAUUGAUCAUAUUUAUAGAUAUAAUGUUUCCAACACAAAUUGCUGGAUCUAACUUCUUUUUUCAGGGAUCACAAACCCAGCAAGUCGCUCAGACCUGGAACAAAGUGAAGAAGUGGUGCACCGACAGAUACAGCACAAUGGAAUGUGUAUUAUGGUUGAUCGAAAUUUCUUCAUGAAUUGUUUUCUUAGAGUAUGUUAAUGCGUUUUGUGUUCUGAUUUGUGUGAUUUGAAUCACGGUUGUAUUCAAAGUUGUAGCCUGAGCAGAUAAAUAAAGAGAAAAAUCCAUGGAAAAUAUCAUCUUGUUCGAAACAGACAGUUGCAGAACAGAUAUCAACGGAUGCUCAUAGCUCAAGUUUAAAGCCCACAAGACUUGACUGGACUCUGCAAAUCCUGUGCUCACGUUACAAUGUCGCCACUGAAAGCACCUACAGACACCAGUGCCAUGUUGGUUGUGAUCAUCGGUGCCGAAGUGCCGAACUUGUUUGAAGAGAGUUUUAAAAAAUAAAUUAAAAACUGAAAAUUUAACAACACAAAUAUCGACAACUACAAAAAGUAGAAAACAUGACCGGCUGUGUUGGAACCACUAAGACAGAUUUUCGCAGAUUCCACUAGACUUCGAAUAUGCUUGCCAGGUCUUCAUUCUAUCCACAAGCGUUGCUUCUGCCGAGAUAUUCCAGUUAGUUGUGGAGGAAGAAUGCAGGUUUUACAGGAACCUCAUUUGUAUAUGUAUGUAUGUAUGUCUCUGCAUAUAUAUAUAUAUAUAUAUGUGUGUGUGUGUGUGUGUGUGUACGUGUAUCCUGAACUAGUAGUUUCUGAUGGGUCUGACCGAGAGGCAACACCGAAAUAUUAGAAACUACUGGAUGGGUCUGGUCAGCUUUCUGACUUUAGUGCGAAGUGUGUGCAGAGUUCAUUGUUUGGGGAAUGGGGGAGUGUUCAAACAGACCAGCAUCACUGUUUUUAUAUUUGAGCAGACAAUUGAUAUGUGAUUUAUCCAAACUCGUCAACAAAGAUUCAUUGAUGGACGUCCAACAAUAAAUCUUUGUUGGACGAUUGGAUACUUGGGAAUUGGUGUGCACUUGAUAAAUAAACAAAUAAAUAAUGAGGGUAUAGAAUGGUUAUUAGAAACAAUACAAGCAGAUUCACUUUUUGUUAUGUCAAUAAUUUGAAGGAUGAUAUAAAGCCUUACCAUUAUAUGAAGCAUGUCUGUUAUGAAUUAGGAAAUUUGUAAAUAUUUCAUCUGCUCUGAUUAAAUGAAAUGAAAUUAAUAUAAUAAAUUGAUUAAGAACAUUUAAACUAUUUUUGAAUAGACAUAUUUCUAAUCAUGUUUUUAAUGUCAUAUAUGUUUUUGUGAAUAUACAUAUUUAUAAAUAUACUAUAUAUAUAUAUAUAUAUAUAUAUAUAUGUAUAUAUAUACACACAAACACACAUGAAUUUUGCAAAUUAAUUAUGUUAAUUUAAUUUUUUUAUAAAGUUAAUUUAAAAGUGUUGCAAUUUUUGAUCAUUAUGAUAGAUUGAAGUAAAAUAAACCAGUUUUUCAAUAAUUUUUGGAAAUAUUUACAUAAAAUUCUAUAAUCAUAAGAAAUCAUAAAAUAACAUUUUUUUUUUUUUUUUUUUUUUUUUAUUCUAUUAGUUACAUGAAUGAAUUAAUAUUUGUGGAAUCCAUCAUGGAUCAAUCAUUUAAUUUAUUCUAAUAUUAAAUUGCAUCUACAAAUCUGCUGUUCAUAUUGAAGAUGCUUUUGCUUUGUAGAAUAAAGAAUAAUUUUUAAAAUUGUUUUUAAUAUUAUGGUAAUUAUAAUUAUUAUUUAUCCAAUAUAGUUAUACAAUAGAUCAUUUUUCCAAAAAACAAUUGCAGAAGAUAGUCUUAAAACUAAAAAUAGAUUAUAUAAAAAUAAUCCAAAUAUAUAUAUAUAUAUAUAUAUAUAUAUAUUUAUCCAAAUUAUCGUUGAAUUCUAUGACAAUAGAUUCAAAUGUUGACUUUUACUUAUAGUAUUCCUAAGAGUAGCAUCUUCUUACAAACUAAAUUUUACGAAUUUUUAAAUUGUUGAUUCUUUGAAAUAUUACUUUAUUUUAAUACCUUUCUGCAAUUUUAUAGUUUUGAAUGUUACAAACCCAAAAAAAAAUUUACCAAAAAUCUAAAAAAUUAAAGGAUAAUAUUUUUUAUUUAAGUUUUGUUGAAUUUUUUUUUGUUGUGUUGUGUUGUUGUCCCCCCCCCCCCCUUCAUAUUUAUAGGUCUGUUAUCUGUUUUAAUUGUUCUUUGAUUCCAAGUUGCAGUACAUGUUGUGUCACUGCAUAUUUUGUAGCACAAAGAUUUUAGUUACAUACAGUAUUAUACAAGAAAAAUUGCAAAAAUUGGUUUGAAACUUUCAUACAUACAAACCUCAAUUCAUACUUUUUUAUACUCGUGUUUACACAAUCUAGCUCUCAUAAUCAUGCCCUAAGAAAACUCAACCAUACUCAACAAUUCAACUUUUAUCUACAAUUAAUCCUUUCCAUUGACACACAAAUCACACCAUCACAUUGCAAUACAAAGCCACAAAAAAAUCCACAUGAAGACCUCAACAAUUCACUUCAUCCACACACACAGACACAGUUUUCAAUCAAUCAGCAGCAGGUUUUACACAAUCUUCUGCGUCACCUCAGUUGCAAACAUACUCACAGCUCAAGAUGUCCACAACAAAACCAUAACGACAACAACAACAUGCAAAAAAAUACGAACUUUUAUUUUAGCUGAAUGAAAUGAGAUACAACUGUCCACGAUACCAAACUCAUGCAGAACAGUGAAGCUUAUUAUGAGAAUGAGCAUUAUUAGUGAUAGCCUGGUACUUCCAGCGAUUCAUUUGUUGCUUGGUAGACCGUCUACAUGUGAAUGAAAGCAUGGAAAGAAAGCAGAGGUUUGUGUGAGUGUUUCUGUGUGUGCUAUGAAGUAAUGGAAGAGGUGCUGUGUGAGGUUCUGCUUGUAAAGUGAGCUUGGGACACUGAGCGACGUCGACGAUGAAUGGGACUGCCCCGGAAGCAUCGACAGCGGCGUCGAGGAGGCAUCGAUCUCUUGUGAGCUUGGCCUCACUCGAUGUCACAUGCCCAACAUGGAAAACUCAUAAGAUUGAUCAGAACAAGGAUGUGUCGUUGUCGGUGGCGGUAGUGGCUCAGUGCAUAGCUCGGACGCAUCAAUACUUGCCUAUCCAUUGGUUGCCAUCGACGAAAUUCCACGACAAGAAUGGUCGCGCCUGCGCGUCGGUAAGCUCCUUGGACCAGUUCACUCGUCCCUUGGUGUCAGCUCCGACGCCUGUGCACUUGUAUUGCCCGUAAUACACCGUCCUGAAGCAUCGACAGUUUGUAACUUAAGUUUGUUGGAUCGGCAUCCUCUCAAGUCUAGAAAAGUAUGAUACUAGCAAGAUUGGAAAGCUGUAGGGGUAACUCGGAAGUGUGUGUGUUUUUUAGGUGGUGAUGGACAAUCUGGAGAUGGUGGUGAAGUAAGAGAGGGAGUGGAGAUCUUACUUUUCUCUAGCAGGAUCGCCCCAGUUGUACCACCCUGCGGGAAUAAUGGGGGCGGAGAUGUCGGUGUACAGGAGCACGACCCUGGAGUAAGGACCCCAAGCGCGGCCAAUGUAGAUAGGCCCGUUCCCGGUGACGUUGCAACGAACGAAGGAAAACCCGCUAGUCUCCGCUUUCGUCAUCUUCUUCUGGGCGGUCAAGGACCCGCUGCCAGGGUUGGCAAUCGAGUGCAAAUGACAUGUCUGCAUUGGGAUUCAAUCGGUGAGUUUGGAAUUCACUGGAGUUGUUCCUGUUUUCCUGAUGUCCUACUCAGUUGAGCGUUUCGCGGAGUGACUGAAGAGUUGCGAGAGAAUGUAGUUGGCAGGUUUUUACCUCAUAAUACGACUGACCGUUGCCGAAGACGAAGUCGAUGGAGCCCUGGAUGUAGCAAUCUUUGAAGUAAUGCCUCCCCUGCUUGUCGUAUAAGGUAUCCUGGGCUCCGAGGAAGGCCACGCGAUAGAACUGAGCCUUGUCUCCUUCGAUUCUGAAUGCUACUGCUUGCUGCCCCACAGCACCGCCUGGUGGAGGAGGGCUCGAGUUCUGUUCCCCAACCCAUGGUGAUGCCACUUUAGAACAUGACGUCUUUAGGAAGCAGAGUGACAGUUUAGCUACACAGCAUGCGAAUCAGUUGGGUACAGAAGGAGGUUGCAAGCAACGCUUACAAAAUUAGUGGCUUGAGUAUGAUGACUGAUAGAAGCAUGACUAAAGAGAUAGUGUUUCGUUUGUUUGUUUGUUUGUUUUUUUUUUUUUUUUUUUUUUUUUUACCUCGAAGGUGAGGUCCUUGGCAACAAAAUAAUCAGACAUGACAGCGAAGGAAGCACUCUGAGAUGUGGAACCCGCUUCCUCUGCAGUAUCGCCGUAUGACAGGAUCGUUACGCCAGCACCCGCUCCUUCAAUUGUUAUGUAGGGCUUAUCCUUUGGGAUUUCGAUCUUCUCCCUGCCACAUCAGAAUUCCACCAGUUUGAUCUGAUUCAGAAGCUCUUCUUUCAUGGCCAUGUCCAGCUACUUAAGACAUUAAAUCCCGAGUUUAAUUUGCCAAAGGCGCUUGUAGAAUUGAGUUGCCGUACUGCCUAGAGGACUUCUUUCGAGCCUUCAUGACAAAGUUAGCGAACAUUGUCCAAGAUGGUGAACACAAACACUUACUUGUAGAAACCUUUAGCAAUUCUGAUGACGCAUCGAACAGAGUUGCCUUUAGGAAUCGACUUGAUUGCAGCUUUCACUUUUGUGUACUUCGCUCCAGACCCUUUCUUCCCCACUGUCCUUAUGCAAGUGGCCUCUUGUGGCGGCGAGGGGGUUGCCUCGACGCUGAAAUCUCCACCUGGAAGGGUCUGAGUGUCCAAAACAGUUGAUUCGGAGUUCUGAGCCUCAUACUUGGCUUGGUUACGUGCAAUCCAGGCGUCAAAAUCUUCCUCUGGAGUUGGUACAGUCUGAGACGAAACUGUGAGAAAAAAUCCUGUUGCUAAGACGAGGGUGCACAGAAGAGCAGCUCUAGA